UUUCGAAUCAUCCACAAUGGGCGAAAGCCUGAUGGUGCGACGCCGCGUGAGGGAUGAAGGUCCUCGGAUUGUAAACCUCUGUCACCAGGGAGCAAAAACUAGACUCAUACUCUAGCUUGAGUUAACCUGGAGAGGAAGUAGUGGCAAACUACGUGCCAGCAGCCGCGGUAAUACGUAGGGACCAAGCGUUGUUCGGAUUUACUGGGCGUAAAGGGUGCGUAGGCGGCAUAUCAAGUCACUUGUGAAAUCUCCGGGCUUAACUCGGAACUGCCAAGUGAUACUGAUGUGCUAGAGUGCAGAAAGGGCAACUGGAAUUCUUGGUGUAGCGGUGAAAUGCGUAGAUAUCAAGAGGAACACCUGAGGCGAAGGCGAGUUGCUAGGCUGACACUGACGCUGAGGUACGAAAGCUAGGGGAGCGAACGGGAUUAGAUACCCCCGUAGUCCCUGAGCGGGCUGGCAAGGCGCAU
rnacentral:rRNA from 1 species